rnacentral:rRNA from 1 species
GACGAACGCUGGCGGCGUGCUUAAUACAUGCAAGUCGAGCGGUGAACCCGACUGAAAGCCUUCGGGCUUGACGUUGGGGGAUCAGCGGCGGAUGGGUGAGUAACGCGUGGGUACCUGCCCUAAAGUCUGGGAUAACAACUCGAAAGGGUUGCUAAUACCGGAUGUGACCGAGAGGUUAAAGGCAGAGAUGUCGCUUUAGGAUGGGCCCGCGUCCCAUUAGCUAGUUGGUGAGGUAAGGGCUCACCAAGGCUGCGAUGGGUAGCCGGCCUGAGAGGGUGGACGGCCACACUGGGACUGAGACACGGCCCAGACUCCUACGGGAGGCAGCAGUAGGGAAUUUUCCGCAAUGGACGGAAGUCUGACGGAGCGACGCCGCGUGGGGGAAGAAGGCCUUCGGUUGUAACCGUACUGUCUUCAGGGACGAAGAGGGUGUGGGAGACGACACCGAAGCCGGUACCGUCGAGGAGGAAGCCCCGGCUAACUACGUGCCAGCAGCCGCGGUAACGUGAGUAGUACGA